GAUCUGCCGCCUUCCGAAAGCACUUAUUAACAGAAAACAUAAUUUGAGACAGAGAGCCUUACGUGCUUCAUAAAAGGAUAGCAACUCAUUCUUAUUUGCUUGAACACACUGGUUAUACUGUUUCCAGCUGGUGAAUCUCUUGGAGAUUUAACGUGGCCUGUAAAACUAGUGCAGGUUUUCCACAAAACACUGACUAGUCCCAGGGAGAUGGAGCAGAAGAGAUCCCAUGUCCACUUGAAAGAACAUUCCAGUUACAGGACUAUGAAACUGAGUCUGGAAGUGCUGAGAUGUCAGAGGACCUUUGUGUUGGGUAUCUGUUUUGCAGUUCUUUUAGUUCUCAGUCAACAAAACAGGUCUCACAUCAAAGUCAAACUGAACCUAUUUUCAAGUUAGACUUUGUGAAAUACUACAUCAAAAGCUGUUGUCAAAUGUACAUACUCUGCUUCCUUCUCUCCUCCCUUCACUCCUCUAUUCUGCACCCACUGCAGUCCCGUCACUCAUCAGCACAGGGGAAACUCUUCACCUCCAGGACUACCCACACAAGGAACAUCACAAAUCAGACCAUACUUCUAUCAAAUGAAGCUCCCUUGCACAUCUGACAUAUUUCUUCUCAUUAUUAGGAAUCUGGAUCUUAAAAACCAUUCAUUAGCAUGCCAAGGUUAUGUUUCCCCAAUUCACUGCAGUCGGUUACCCCUCACCUUCUCUCCUUGCUGCCCCACCCAAGCUGGCCUGCCUGCUCAGCUAACUCAAUGGGAACAGUUUGACCAAGGACAAGCAUUUUUGAAAAUCCCUUUCAGAGUACCUACACACUGAGGCAUUUCUUCCACUAUCCACUGGAGAACAGCCCCAGCAGGUAGAGUUGCUGCACAAAAGCAACCGAGACCUUCAGAUGUAUUUCAACACCCUGCUUGUUUCUUCUUAAUUGUCCAGAAUCUUGUUUGCUUUUAUUAAAAACAAGUAAUUCCAGGUAAUUUCCCUCAACCAUCUAAGCUGCUUUCAACUGAUAUCCCAAUGCUUGUGCAUUUACAUUUGCUGAGUACUCCUUGUCUACACUUUCCCAACAGCCACUUUUAUAUCAAGAAUUUCUGGGUCCUAUUAAUCUUCUCUGCAAUUUUAUGGUUAAAGAUUAACAACAACAUGGCAUUUUAGAUUUCUCGCUCGUUAUUUCCAUCUCUUUCUCCUAUAACAUUUUAAUGUAUUUUUAGAGUACGUUUUAUUCUCUAUUAAUUCUUUGGGCUGGUCCAAGACUGUCUCCUUAUAAAUGAAGGAGCUGAAUGGGUGGAAGAGUGGGAUAAUGCCUCUUCAUUAGGUCUACCUGAAAAUGUUCUUCUUCCUCCUUGCCUUUGAUUUCUUCAGUCAAAGAGGAAAGCUUAAACUUCUGGGCAAACACACACCAGGAUUUCUGUGCUUGGUACCUGGACACACUGCCUAGCCAGCACCCUACUUAAGUGUCCCACGGCUGUCCUGAGCACAAUCAAAUAGAAUUUGGGCACUCUUCUAUGUCUUAUCUGAGUCGCACUCAACUGUUUUGCACACAUACAAGUCCAUCUUUCUAUACUUUUUAACUCUGCUUCAAUAGCAGCGCUUUUGAAACAAAUAGCAGUUUGUUUAUGAGCUUGCAUUCCUGCAUCCAAGAGCCCAGUGUCUUCCCAAGGCAGCAUCAAAGGCUGGUUGUGGAAGCUUCAAAGAAAAGUUCUGGCUGAUGGAAAAGAACAUUUGUAGAUCUGUGGAGUAAUAGAUAAAUAAAGCCAAGGGAAAUCCAGGCUCAAAGGAGAGGCCCAGCUUGAAAGGAGCUGUUAGGAUAAAUGCCACUUAGUUAUGGAAGGGUUGAAAAUACAAGGGUAGAAUUAUAAGAUAGUGGCAAUUUCCAGAUUUUCAAGACAAGCACAGUAUUUUUUGUAAGACAAAGGGCCUCAUCUACUGUCAUCUUUAAACUACAGAGAGAACCCAAAUCAUGGGUCUUCUAAUAUGCAGUAUGCCAGGAGAUUUCUGAGACUGAAGCUCUGAGUUGUGGUUCAGUCAGUGACCUCAGAGCUGACAGCCAUUACUCCCCUUGCCUGUCUCAGCUCUGCCAGCCUCUGCAGAUGCUCUACUGAGCUGGUUCCACCCUCUCAGUCAGCAGAACUAUUCCCUUUUCUUUGUUGAGGUGAGUUUUGUGCUGAUGCAACAAGUUAAAUCAGUUCAAUGCAAGAUUAGACAAUCACCAGGUCUAACGUCAGAGGAGCAAGGAAAAGAGGAACAAGAUUUUUCUCAUCCACUGGAAGCAAGCCAUUAACGUGACUCAGGUUGUAACAGGUAACUCUACCCUGACAGGCAGAUUCUCAGGGGGUUAAGCCAAGACAAGACUGUGCUACUGGCAAAAGUCAUCAUUCCAUCCUUUCCCCUUUCCUUAGUCAUGCUUUCCUGAUGCCUCCUCUCUGCUGGCUACGACACUCAUGCAGCCACAUGUUAAGCCAGAUCAGCUUGCCAACAGAGCUGAAAGCUAAUCCAGUUUACAGAAAAAAAAAAAAGUUUCCAGCAGGAUCAAUUUUGGCAGCCAGCUGAUCCUGCAGCCGAACAAACACCAGUGCCAGGAUAAGCCAGUGAGAAGGCCUGUUUUGGUGGCAGCCUGCACACACGUCAGCAUAAACCAGAAGUGCCCCCACAGGCCAUAAUUUCACAAAUGCUUCCAGCCAGCUAUUGCCAGCACUGCUGCCAAAAGUAACAGAGCCUUGCCCUCGGCCACACCAGCUGCUCAUUCCAGGCUCCAGGCACCCGCUGUGCUUUGCUGGAGAAGAACUGAUUGAUAAAUAUAGCUGGAGUUAAAAGCAGCAUUUUUUUUCCUCCCAAAUUUGUAUUCCACAUCAGUAAAGCACCUCUGAACCAAAGACCUGCUGGAUUGUAAUUGCCUCCUGAGGUGAAGCUCUGGGGAAAAGAGGUGAGUUGAGGGCAUUUUACAGUCUUAUCCUUGGCUGCAAACCUGCUUUCCCACUAAGGCUAAGGCUUCAUGUCCCGUUACAGAGGUGUCAGAGCACACACAGAAUACACUCCAGCUUCGGGACAGAGACUUCUCCAAGGACUCUGCUUUAUUCAGCUGUGCUGGGGUGUAAAUGCCUCCACAAAGCACACGGCAGCAGAGAAGCAAGUCUGAUUGCUUUUUACUUGCAGGACAAAGAGGAAUUAUUUCUCUGAGAAUGGAUUAGUCACGUAUUACACUGUUGUUAUGUGUGCUGCCACAACAGAAGAGAGCUGCCCUCUCCUGCAAAUUUGGCCUAUCAGGGAACCUUUCUGAAACAUACUUGUCUGAAGCCAGUAGAUGUACUUUGCAGGGCUAAUGAGAGACAGUUUUAUUUUGUGAAUGAAGCUCUAAGCCAGAGAAUGAAACAAGUCAAUGACCAUCAUUUUCCUUCAGCAGCUCCUUCAAAUAAGUCUGCAUUUGUGAAAUGGAUGGAAGUGGUUGUGUUCUACUAGCAUGGUUCCCAGACAAAAUGUCUCUGCUGCUACUGUUCAAAGAAAUAAAGUUAAAACACUGCAAGCAGCAAACGUGUCUAGGCAUGCUGAGCAUAAUUUUGCAUCCAGUGUGGGAGGGUCCAAAAUAUUUGGCCACCUCAAGUGAAAGAAAUGAACAUUCAAGUAAGGCAGAAGCUGAAUUAACCCUUGAUUACCAAGCACAAUUAUACUUCUAAAUAUUGAAAGCAAGAUCUUAAUUUCUUUGUGGCAGUUCUUUGUGCACUGUAAAGCUUUUGGUGCUCACACACUCUAUAAAAAACCUGACAAAUGCAUUUACAAAUACAGUGCUAUCCUCCGGCAACUGUUCACCUUAUCCUUCAAGAAAGGCACAGGAGUAAGGCACAUUUCUUACCAGCUGACUUUUGCCUCACUUCCACCACACCAGCGUAUAUUCUGCUUCCCUGUGUCCCACGCCAGAGGCUUCACUCGGGGCACACAAACACCUCUGCGGCCGCUCCUGCUCCUCGCGCACCAGCGUGCCACCAGCCGCUGCCAGAGGCUCUGCCUCUGCAGGGGGACAGGAUGGGCACAAGGAUGAGCGGGUCCCGGAGGUUUCCCACCUGCCGUGCACACGGGUGCUGGAACCAGCGAGCUCCAGAGCAGCACGGGCAGCUUUUCCAAGCGGCGGCGUGUGCUGUGCCGCACGAGGGCUGCGCUCUGCGGGCCUGGAAAACCAGCCUCUCCAGUUCAGAGGGGAUGGAGCAGGAAACUGGCAGCGAGGCACAGCCAGGCACUGCUCCCCAAAGCUUCAUCCCCUUGGGUCCAACAGAUUUGGCAAUGCUGACUUCGUGUGGUGAGAUGUGUUUGUAUUCUCAGCGCUCAUUUUGGAGAAGAAAGGACAUGGUGGGGCAGAGAAAAACAUGGGACAGGGAGUCAUUUAGAGCUUAAAUCUCUAGCUAAGUUUUCUUUUUUUUUUUCUUUUAAAAAUUAUAUUAACAUUUAUCUUUCAGCAUUUACUGUAACAAACCCACAGGCAAUAAGAACCCACAGUGACUUAAAUGAGACUAAAUUUGUGAACAACAAGCUACCAGUAAGAAUCCUGAUGCCCUCCAUAUGAAAUAAAUAAACAUCAGUUUCCACCUAAUAUUUACUUCUUGGAAGUUCAAGACUAAUCCCAUUUGGCAUAUUUUAAGGAAGUGAGCUCUUGACCCCAAAUGUUUAUGGGCUGUAACAGUAAGU